CCUACUGGAGGCAGCAGUGAGGAAUAUUGGUCAAUGGCCGUAACGCUGAACCAGCGACGUCGCGUGAGGGAAGAAGGAUCUAUGGUUUUAAAACUUCUUUUGUAGGGGAAUAAAGGUAUCCACGUGUGGAAAUUUGCAUGUCCCCUAUGAAUAAGCAUCGGCUAACUCCGUGCCAGCAGCCGAGGUAAUACGGAGGUUGCGAGCGUUAUCCGGAGUUAUUGGGUUUAAAGGGUGCGUAGGUUGCUUUGGAAGGCAGCGGUGAAAGUUUGUGGCUAAACCAUUAAAUUGCCGUUGAAACUGGAAGGCUUGAGUGCUGUAGAGGUAGGCGGAAUGCGUGGUGUAGCGGUGAAAUGCAUAGAUAUUACGCAGAACACCGAUUGCGAAGGCAGCUUACUAAGCCAUAACUGACACUGAAGCACGAAAGCGUGGGGAUCAAACAGGAUUAGAUACCCCAGUAGUC
rnacentral:rRNA from 1 species